UACGAAGGGGGCUAGCGUUGCUCGGAAUCACUGGGCGUAAAGGGCGCGUAGGCGGCUUUAUAAGUCGGGGGUGAAAGCCUGUGGCUCAACCACAGAAUUGCCUUCGAUACUGUAGAGCUUGAGACCGGAAGAGGUAAGUGGAACUGCGAGUGUAGAGGUGAAAUUCGUAGAUAUUCGCAAGAACACCAGUGGCGAAGGCGGCUUGCUGGUCCGGUUCUGACGCUGAGGCGCGAAAGCGUGGGGAGCGAACAGG
rnacentral:rRNA from 1 species